rnacentral:rRNA from 1 species
AACGAACGCUGGCGGCAGGCUUAACACAUGCAAGUCGAACGCCCCGCAAGGGGAGUGGCAGACGGGUGAGUAACGCGUGGGAAUCCACCCAAUUCUACGGAACAACUGAGGGAAACUUCAGCUAAUACCGUAUACGCCCUACGGGGGAAAGAUUUAUCGGAAUUGGAUGAGCCCGCGUUGGAUUAGCUAGUUGGUGGGGUAAUGGCCUACCAAGGCGACGAUCCAUAGCUGGUCUGAGAGGAUGAUCAGCCACACUGGGACUGAGACACGGCCCAGACUCCUACGGGAGGCAGCAGUGGGGAAUAUUGGACAAUGGGCGAAAGCCUGAUCCAGCCAUGCCGCGUGAGUGAUGAAGGCCUUAGGGUUGUAAAGCUCUUUCAGUGGGGAAGAUAAUGACGGUACCCACAGAAGAAGCCCCGGCUAACUUCGUGCCAGCCGCCGCGGUAAGAC